rnacentral:rRNA from 1 species
CCUACGGGUGGCAGCAGUGAGGAAUAUUGGUCAAUGGACGAGAGUCUGAACCAGCCAAGUAGCGUGAAGGAUGACUGCCCUAUGGGUUGUAAACUUCUUUUAUAUGGGAAUAAAAUGUUCCACGUGUGGGAUUUUGUAUGUACCUUAUGAAUAAGGAUCGGCUAACUCCGUGCCAGCAGCCGCGGUAAUACGGAGGAUCCGAGCGUUAUCCGGAUUUAUUGGGUUUAAAGGGAGCGUAGGUGGAUUGUUAAGUCAGUUGUGAAAGUUUGCGGCUCAACCGUAAAAUUGCAGUUGAUACUGGCAGUCUUGAGUACAGUAGAGGUGGGCGGAAUUCGUGGUGUAGCGGUGAAAUGCUUAGAUAUCACGAAGAACUCCGAUUGCGAAGGCAGUUCACUGGACUGCAACUGACACUGAGGCUCGAAAGUGUGGGUAUCAAACAGGAUUAGAUACCCCUGUAGUC